UAGGGGAUGCCUAGAUAUUAGAAAAGUAACGGACGUAUCAAAACACGAAAAGUUGUAUGGAAUACUAUUCAAGGAGUAUUUUGACAUGCAAAUUUCCGAUAAGUAAACUUACAUUUUUUAAAACAUAGUGAACUGAAACAUCUAAGUAACUAUGGAAUAGAAAUCAACCGAGAUUCUGUUAGUAGUGGCGAUCGAACGCAGACUAGAUCUAGAAAUUUACUUCAAAUAUCUGAAAACACCAGAGAAGGUAUAAGUCCUGUAAGAUAUAAUAAGUAUUUUUCUGCUGAGUAGGGUGGAACACGUGGAAUUCUAUCUGAACAUUGGGGGCUCACCCUCAAAAUCUAAAUAUUUUCUAAUAAUCGAUAGUGUACAAGUACUGUAAAGGAAAGGUGAAAAGUACCGGUAUGGUUUUUUGACCCUGAAACUAGAUGUUUACAAACAGUUGUAGUCAUUAAAUUGAUGACAACGUACCUUUUGCAUAAUGGGCCAAUGACUUUAUAUAUAUAGCGAGCUUAAACUGAUAAGUGUAGGCGUAGUGACAACAUAUCUGAAUAGGGUAUAAGUUAUAUUUAUAAGACCCGAAACCAAGUGAUCUAGCCAUGAGCAGGUUGAAGUUAGAACUAACGUUCAAUGGAGGACCGAACCCACAUCUGUAGAAAAAGAUGGGGAUGACUUGUGGUUAGGGGUGAAAGGCCAAUCAAACUUGGAAAUAGCUGGUUUUUCGCGAAAUCUAUUUAAGUAGAGCAUAUAGUAUUAAAUAUCUGGGGUAGAGCACUCAUUAAACUAGGGGGAUAUUGCAUCUUACCAAAUUUAGGGAAACUCCGAAUACGGAUAAUUUUGAACUAUGUAGACAGACCUUGGGAGCUAAGUUCCUGGGUCAAGAGGGAAACAGCCCAGAGUGUUCGUUAAGAUCCUCAAAUUUUAUCUAAGUGGACAAGAAUGUGAGAAGAUAAAGACAGCUAGGAGGUAGGCUUGGAAGCAGCCAUCCUCUAAGGAAAGCGUAACAGCUCACUAGCCUAAUUUUCUUGCGUCGAAAAUAUAUUGGGACUAAAGAUAAAUAUCGAAACGGCACUUUUAUUAAAUCAAUAAAAAGUAGCGAAACGUUCUGUAAGCCUGAGAAGAAAGGUUGUAAAAUCUUUUGGAGGUAUCAGAAGUGAGAAUAUUGGCAUGAGUAACGAUAAAGAAUGUAAAAACAUUCUCGCCGUAAGUCCAAGGGUUCCGACGUAAAGUUAAACUGCGAAGGGUUAGACGGCCCCUAAGAAGAAGACGAAAGUCGUAUUCGAUGGGUAAUGUAUGAUAAAUACUUACAUACUCUUAAAAAUGACUAAAAUAGUAAUCCGCGUACCUAUACUCAUUAAAUGGAUUUGAGUCGUGGAGAAUAUUUUACAGGAAAUAAUUUUUAAGUAAUUACCGUACCCUAAACCGACACAGGUGGACGAGUCGAGUAGACUAAGGCGCUUGAGAGAACUAUGUUGAAGGAACUCGGCAAAAUGGCCCUGUAACUUCGGGAGAAAGGGUGCCUAAAUAGGAUAGGUAGUCUUAUUUAGGCGGCACUGAAUAGGGAGUAGCGACUGUUUAAUAAAAACACAGGACUCUGCUAAAUUGUAAAAUGACGUAUAGGGUCUGACACCUGCCCGGUGCUGGAAAGUUAAGGGGAUGUAUUUUUGUAUUGAACCGAAGCUCCAGUAAACGGCGGCCGUAACUCUGACGGUCCAAAGGUAGCGAAAUUCCUUGUCGGGUAAGUUCCGACCUGCAUGAAUGGUGUAACGACUUCUCCGCUGUCUCCAACAUAGACUCAGUGAAAUUGAAAUGGCUGUGCAGAUACGGCCCUCCUAUAGCUAGACGGAAAGACCCCGUGCACCUUUACUACAUCUUUACAUUGUAAAAAGAUUUCAUAUGUGUAGAAUAGGUGGUAGCCUUUAAUACCUUAACGUAAGUUAACCGUAUAGGCAUCUUUGAAAUACCACCCUUAUGAUUUCACUUUACUUACCUUUCUAGGGACAAUGUAUGGUUGGUAGUUUGACUGGGGCGGUCGCCUCCUAAAAAGUAACGGAGGUGUACAAAGGUAGACUCAAAUUGUAUUUAAUCAAUUGUAGAGUGUAAUGGCAUAAGUUUGCUUGACUGUAAGAUAGACAUAUCGAGCAGGGACGAAAGUCGGUCAUAGUGAUCCGGUGGUUCUUUGUGAAAAGACCAUCGCUCAACGGAUAAAAGGUACGCCGGGGAUAACAGGCUAAUGACUCUUAAGAGCUCCUAUCGACGGAGUCGUUUGGCACCUCGAUGUCGACUCUACGCAUCCUGGGGCUGAAGAAGGUCCCAAGGGUUCGGCUGUUCGCCGAUGAAAGCGUAACGUGAGUUGGGUUUAGAACGUCGUGAGACAGUUUGGUCCCUAUCUACUAUAGGUAACAGAAAAAAACAGGGAGUCAUAUCUUAGUACGAGAGGACCGGAUAUGGUAAACCACUGGUCUACCGGUUGUUCCGCCAGGGGCAGCGCCGGGUAGCUACGUUUAUGUUAAAUAAUUGCUGAAAGCAUCUAAGCAAGAAGUUAACCCCUAAAGUUUUU
rnacentral:rRNA from 1 species